GCCAGCGUGGUGCAGUGGUUUGAGUGCUGGACUAUGCCUCUGAAGACCAGGGUUCGAAUUUCUGCUCGGUCA